UGGGGAAUAUUGGGCAAUGGGGCGCAAGCCUGACCCAGCAACGCCGCGUGAGGGAAGAAGGUUUUCGGAUUGUAAACCUCUGUCGCAGAAGACGAAGGAAGUGACGGUAAUCUGUGAGGAAGCCCCGGCUAACUACGUGCCAGCAGCCGCGGUAAUACGGUAGGGGGCGAGCGUUGUCCGGAAUUACUGGGCGUAAAGGGUGCGUAGGCGGUUUGGUAAGUUGGAUGUGAAAUACCCGGGCUUAACUUGGGGGCUGCAUCCAAUACUGUCGGACUUGAGUGCAGGAGAGGAAAGCGGAAUUCCUAGUGUAGCGGUGAAAUGCGUAGAUAUUAGGAGGAACACCGGUGGCGAAGGCGGCUUUCUGGACUGUAACUGACGCUGAGGCACGAAAGCGUGGGGAGCAAACAGGAUUAGAUACCCUGGUAGU
rnacentral:rRNA from 1 species